UCACUUCUGGAUGGACCUGCGGUGCAUUAGCUUGUUGGUGGGGUAAUGGCCUACCAAGGCGAUGAUGCAUAGCCGAGUUGAGAGACUGAUCGGCCACAAUGGGACUGAGACACGGCCCAUACUCCUACGGGAGGCAGCAGUAGGGAAUCUUCCACAAUGGGCGCAAGCCUGAUGGAGCAACACCGCGUGAGUGAAGAAGGGUUUCGGCUCGUAAAGCUCUGUUGUUAAAGAAGAACACGUAUGAGAGUAACUGUUCAUACGUUGACGGUAUUUAACCAGAAAGUCACGGCUAACUACGUGCCAGCAGCCGCGGUAAUACGUAGGUGGCAAGCGCUAUCCGGAUUUAUUGGGCGUAAAGAGAGUGCAUGCGGUUUUCUAAGUCUGAUGUGAAAGCCUUCGGCUUAACCGGAGAAGUGCAUCGGAAACUGGAUAACUUGAUUGCACAAGAGGGUAGUGGAACUUCCUGUCGUGCGGUGGAAUGCGCAGAUUU
rnacentral:rRNA from 1 species